GUAAGCUACAAAGAGCAAGUGGUGGAUGCCUUGGCUAGUAGAGGCGAUGAAAGACGUGCCAGGCUGCGAUAAGUCUCGGGGAGCCGUCAAGGGGCUUUGAUCCGGGAAUUUCUGAAUGGGGCAACCCAGUUAAGCGCGAGCUUAACUACCUAAUAUGGAGCGAACGAGGGGAAUUGAAACAUCUUAGUACCCUCAGGAAAAGAAAUCAAAAGAGAUUACGCUAGUAGCGGCGAGCGAACGCGUAAGAGGGCAAACCACUAGUUUACUAGUGGGGUUGUAGGACUGCAACAUAGACUAAACUUAGCUAAUAGAAUAAUCUGGAAAGAUUAAGCAUAGAGGGUGAUACUCCCGUAUAUGAAAGCUUUGUUUUACUUAGCAGUAUCCUGAGUAGGGCGGAACACGUGAUAUUCUGUCUGAAGCUGGGUAGACCACUAUCCAACCCUAAAUACUACUACUAGACCGAUAGUGCACAAGUACCGUGAGGGAAAGGUGAAAAGAACUGAGGUGAUCAGAGUGAAAUAGAACCUGAAACCAUUUGCUUACAAUCAUUCAGAGCCCUAUGAUUUAUCAGGGUGAUGGACUGCCUUUUGCAUAAUGAGCCUGCGAGUUGUGAUGUCUGGCAAGGUUAAGGAAACCCGGAGCCGUAGCGAAAGCGAGUCUUAAUAGGGCGUUUAGUCAGACGUUGCAGACCCGAAACGAUGUGAUCUAUCCAUGAGCAGGUUGAAACCGGUGUAAGAGCCGGUGGAGGACCGAACCCGCUAGCGUUGAAAAGCUAUGGGAUGACUUGUGGAUAGGGGUGAAAGGCCAAUCAAACAUCGUGAUAGCUGGUUCUCUCCGAAAUAUAUUUAGGUAUAGCGUCAUGUAGUAACACUAGGGGGUAGAGCACUGAAUGGGCUAGGGCAUACACCAAUGUACCAAACCCUAUCAAACUCCGAAUACCUAGUGUGUAAUCAUGGCAGUCAGGCGGCGAGUGAUAAAAUCCGUCGUCGAGAGGGGAACAACCCAGACUAACAGCUAAGGUCCCUAAAUCUCAUUUAAGUGGAAAACGAUGUGGAGUUACUUAAACAACCAGGAGGUUGGCUUAGAAGCAGCCAUCCUUUAAAGAAAGCGUAAUAGCUCACUGGUCGAGUGAUUCUGCGCGGAAAAUAUAACGGGGCUAAAAUGAGUACCGAAGCUUUAGACUUAGUUUUACUAAGUGGUAGGAGAGCGUUGUAUUUGCGUUGAAGGUAUACCGGUAAGGAGUGCUGGAGCGAAUACAAGUGAGCAUGCAGGCAUGAGUAGCGAUAAUUGGGGUGGGAAUCCCCAACGCCGUAAACCCAAGGUUUCCUACGCGAUGCUCGUCAUCGUAGGGUUAGCCGGGUCCUAAGCAAAGUCCGAAAGGGGUAUGCGAUGGAAAAUUGGUUAAUAUUCCAAUGCCAACUAUAAUGUGCGAUGGAAGGACGCUUAGAGUUAAGCAAGCUAGCGGAUGGUAGUGCUAGUCGAAAGGUGUAGGUUAAGAUCCAGGCAAAUCCGGAUCUUUUUAAGCCGAGACCCCACAGGCGUUUGAAGUUCUUCGGAAUGGAUAGCGAAUUGCUGAUACUGUCGAGCCAAGAAAAGUUUCUAAGUUUAGUUAUAGUUGCCCGUACCGUAAACCGACACAGGUGGGUGGGAUGAGUAUUCUAAGGCGCGUGGAAGAACUCUCUUCAAGGAACUCUGCAAAAUAGCACCGUAUCUUCGGUAUAAGGUGUGCCUAACUUUGUGAAGGAUUUACUCCGUAAGCAUUGAAGGUUACAACAAAGAGUCCCUCCCGACUGUUUACCAAAAACACAGCACUCUGCUAACUCGUAAGAGGAUGUAUAGGGUGUGACGCCUGCCCGGUGCUCGAAGGUUAAUUGAUGACGUUAGCUCUGCGAAGCGUUUGAUCGAAGCCCGAGUAAACGGCGGCCGUAACUAUAACGGUCCUAAGGUAGCGAAAUUCCUUGUCGGG
rnacentral:rRNA from 1 species